GACGAACGCUGGCGGCGUGCCUAAUACAUGCAAGUCGAGCGGAUCUUCAUUAGCUUGCUUUUGAAGAUCAGCGGCGGACGGGUGAGUAACACGUGGGCAACCUGCCUGUAAGACUGGGAUAACUUCGGGAAACCGGAGCUAAUACCGGAUAAUCCUUUUCCUCUCAUGAGGAAAAGCUGAAAGACGGUUUCGGCUGUCACUUACAGAUGGGCCCGCGGCGCAUUAGCUAGUUGGUGAGGUAACGGCUCACCAAGGCGACGAUGCGUAGCCGACCUGAGAGGGUGAUCGGCCACACUGGGACUGAGACACGGCCCAGACUCCUACGGGAGGCAGCAGUAGGGAAUCUUCCGCAAUGGACGAAAGUCUGACGGAGCAACGCCGCGUGAGCGAUGAAGGCCUUCGGGUCGUAAAGCUCUGUUGUCAGGGAAGAACAAGUAUCUAAGAGUAACUGCUUAGGUAGUGACGGUAUUUAACCAGAAAGCCACGGCAAACUACGUGCCAGCCGCCGCCGUAA
rnacentral:rRNA from 1 species